rnacentral:tRNA from 1 species
AAGGAUUUAAGUUAAAAAAAACUAUUAACCUUCAAAGUUAAAAAUAGAUUUUGUCUAAGCCUUA